GUUGGCUGUGGUCUAAGUUCCUUGGAACAGGACGUCGCAGAGGGUGAGAAUCCCGUAUGUGGCCGCCAGUCUUCGCCGUGUAAAGCCCCUUCGACGAGUCGAGUUGUUUGGGAAUGCAGCUCUAAAUGGGAGGUAAAUUUCUUCUAAAGCUAAAUAUUGGCCAGAGACCGAUAGCGCACAAGUAGAGUGAUCGAAAGAUGAAAAGCACUUUGGAAAGAGAGUCAAAAAGCACGUGAAAUUGUUGAAAGGGAAGCGCUUGCAGCCAGACUUGCUUGCAGUUGUUCAGCCGGGCUCUUGCCCGGUCUACUCUUCUGCUCGCAGGCCAGCAUCAGUCCGGGCGGUUGGAUAAAGGCCUAUUAAACGUACCUCCCCUCGGGGAGGACUUAUAGGGUAGGCGACAUGCAACCAGCCCGGAUUGAGGUCCGCGCAUCUGCUAGGAUGCUGGCGUAAUGGCUGUAAGCGGCCCGUCUUGAAACACGGACCAAGGAGUCUAACAUCUAUGCGAGUGUUUGGGUGUCAAGCCCGAGCGCGUAAUGAAAGUGAACGGAGGUGGGAACCUUUCGGGGUGCACCAUCGACCGAUCCUGAUGUCUUCGGAUGGAUUUGAGUAAGAGCAUAGCUGUUGGGACCCGAAAGAUGGUGAACUAUGCCUGAAUAGGGUGAAGCCAGAGGAAACUCUGGUGGAGGCUCGCAGCGGUUCUGACGUGCAAAUCGAUCGUCAAAUUUGGGCAUAGGGGCGAAAGACUA
rnacentral:rRNA from 1 species